rnacentral:rRNA from 1 species
GAUCAUGGCUCAGAUUGAACGCUGGCGGCAGGCCUAAUACAUGCAAGUCGAACGGUAACAUAGGAAAAGCUUGCUUUCCUGAUGACGAGUGGCGGACGGGUGAGUAAAGUUGGGAAGCUACCUGAUAGAGGGGGACAACAGUUGGAAACGACUGCUAAUACCGCAUACAGCCUGAGGGUGAAAGCAGCGAUGCGCUAUCAGAUGCGCCCAAAUGGGAUUAGCUAGUAGGUGAGGUAAAGGCUCACCUAGGCGACGAUCUCUAGCUGGUCUGAGAGGAUGAUCAGCCACAUUGGGACUGAGACACGGCCCAGACUCCUACGGGAGGCAGCAGUAGGGAAUAUUGCACAAUGGAGGAAACUCUGAUGCAGCCAUGCCGCGUGUGUGAAGAAGGCCUUCGGGUUGUAAAGCACUUUCGGAGGGGAGGAGAAUGACGUUACCCUCAGAAGAAGCACCGGCUAACUCCGUGCCAGCCGCCGC